rnacentral:rRNA from 1 species
GGGUGGUGUUGAGGGGCCAGCGCGAGCCAGAUAGCGAACCGUGACUGUGAAGGAAAGGUGAAAAGCACUUCGAAUAGAAGAGUGAAAUAGUCCCUGAAACCAUGCGCCUACAAGCGGUCGGAGCAGCUUCAGCUGUGACGGCGUGCCUUUUGCAUAAUGAACCUACGAGUUACUUUUUCCGGCAAGGUUAAGCAUCUUGAGAUGUGGAUCCGAAGCGAAAGCGAGUCUGAACAGGGCGGAUAGUCGGAAGGAGUAGACGCGAAACCAAGUGAUCUACCCUUGGGCAGGUUGAAGGUUAGGUAACACUAACUGGAGGACCGAACCGAUAAGCGUUGAAAAGCUUCCGGAUGACCUGAGGGUGGGGGUGAAAGGCUAAUCAAACUUGGAGAUAGCUCGUACUCCCCGAAAUGCAUUUAGGUGCAGCCUUGAGAGUUACUAAUGUGAGGUAGAGCGACUGAUAAGAUGCGAGGGCUUCACCGCCUAUCAAGUCUUGAUAAACUCCGAAUGCGCAUUAGUUCUAUCUCAGGAGUGAGGGCAUGGGUGCUAAGGUCCAUGUCCUAAAGGAGAAGAAUCCAGACCAUCAGCUAAGGUCCCCAAAUAAACACUAAGUUGAACUAACGAAGUCAGAUUGCUAAGACAGCUAGGAUGUUGGCUUGGAAGCAGCCAUUCAUUUAAAGAGUGCGUAACAGCUCACUAGUCGAGGAGUUUGGCGUGGAUAAUAAUCGGGCAUAAGUGUUUUACCGAAGCUAUGGGAUCCUAACGGAUCGGUAGGGGAGCAUUCCACUCAGCGUUGAAGGCGAAGCGUGAGCUUUACUGGAGCGUGUGGAAAAGCAAAUGUAGGUAUAAGUAACGAUAAAGGGGGUGAGAAACCCCCUCGCCGCAAGACUAAGGUUUCCUGAUCAACGCUAAUCGGAUCAGGGUUAGUCGGGUCCUAAGGCUCAGCCGAACGGUGAGGCCGAUGGCAGAACAGGUUAAUAUUCCUGUACUACCUGUAAGAGUGAUGUGGAGACGGAGGAGUGACAACGCCGCGGACUGACGGAAUAGUCCGUUAAAGGGUGUAGAUGUUGAUUAUCCCAGGCAAAUCCGGGAUAAGAGUCGAACCUGACAGUAUACCAAUUUCCCCGGAAAACGGUAAUAGUGCGUGUAAACAUACUCCCAAGAAAAUCCGCUAAACUUAAUCUUACAGGUACCCGUACCGUAAACGGACACACGUAGUCGGGUUGAAUAUACUCAGGCGCUUGAGUGAAUCACGGUUAAGGAACUAGGCAAAUUGACCCUGUAACUUCGGGAUAAAGGGUCCCUACCCGGUGACGGGAGGGCGCAGAGAAUAGGUCCAGGCAACUGUUUAACAAAAACACAGGGCUGUGCAAAAUUGAAAGAUCACGUAUACAGCCUGACACCUGCCCGGUGCUGGAAGGUUAAGAGGAGAUGUCAUCGCAAGAGAAGCAUUGAAUUGAAGCCCCAGUAAACGGCGGCCGUAACUAUAACGGUCCUAAGGUAGCGAAAUUCCUUGUCGGGUAAGUUCCGACCUGCACGAAUGGUGUAAUGAUCUGGACACUGUCUCAACCGUGAGCUCAGUGAAAUUGUAGUAUCGGUGAAGAUGCCGAUUACCCGCGAUGGGACGAAAAGACCCCGUGAACCUUUACUAUAGCUUAACAUUGAAUUUGGGUAAUUGAUGUGUAGGAUAGGCCGGAGACUUUGAAGCAGGCACGCCAGUGUUUGUGGAGUCGCUGUUGAAAUACGGCCCUUUGGUUAUUUGAGUUCUAACUCGCUGAUGCGAGGACACUGUUUGGUGGGUAGUUUGACUGGGGUGGUCGCCUCCAAAAGCGUAACGGAGGCUUCUAAAGGUGCCCUCACGCCGAUUGGUAACCGGCGGUAGAGUGUAAUGGCAUAAGGGCGCUUGACUGGGAGACUUACAAGUCGAUCAGGUAGGAAACUAGAGCAUAGUGAUCCGGUGUUUCCGUAUGGAAGGGACAUCGCUCAAAGGAUAAAAGGUACUCCGGGGAUAACAGGCUGAUCCCUCCCAAGAGCUCAUAUCGACGGAGGGGUUUGGCACCUCGAUGUCGGCUCGUCACAUCCUGGGGCUGGAGAAGGUCCCAAGGGUUGGGCUGUUCGCCCAUUAAAGUGGCACGCGAGCUGGGUUCAGAACGUCGUGAGACAGUUCGGUCUCUAUCUAUCGUGGGCGUAUGAAAUUUGCGUGGCUCUGACACUAGUACGAGAGGACCGUGUUGGACUGACCUCUGGUUUACCGGUUGUGCCGCCAGGUGCAUUGCCGGGUAUCUAAGUCGGGAUUGGAUAAGUGCUGAAAGCAUCUAAGUACGAAGCCAGCCACAAGAUUAGAUUUCUUUUUAGGGUCGUUGUAGACUACAACGUUGAUAGGACGCAGGUGUACAGGUGGUAACAUCACAGCCGAGCGUUACUAAUUGCCCGAUGACUUUCUUUU